CGCGUAGGCGGUUUGAUCAGUCGGAUGUGAAAGCCCUGGGCUCAACCUGGGAAUUGCAUUCGAUACUGUCAAGCUAGAAUGUUGGAGAGGCAAGUGGAAUUUCCGGUGUAGCGGUGAAAUGCGUAGAGAUCGGAAGGAACACCAGUGGCGAAGGCGGCUUGCUGGCCAAACAUUGACGCUGAGGUGCGAAAGCGUGGGUAGCGAACAGGAUUAGAUACCCUGGUAGUCC
rnacentral:rRNA from 1 species